GACGAACGCUGGCGGCGUGCUUAACACAUGCAAGUCGAACGGAAAGGCCCUGCUUUUGUGGGGUGCUCGAGUGGCGAACGGGUGAGUAACACGUGAGUAACCUGCCCUUGACUUUGGGAUAACUUCAGGAAACUGGGGCUAAUACCGGAUAGGAGCUCCUGCUGCACGGUGGGGGUUGGAAAGUUUCGGCGGUUGGGGAUGGACUCGCGGCUUAUCAGCUUGUUGGUGGGGUAGUGGUUUACCAAGGCUUUGACGGGUAGCCGGCCUGAGAGGGUGACCGGCGACAUUGGGACUGAGAUACGGCGCAGACGCCUACGGGAGGCAGCAGUGGGGAGUAUUGCACAAUGGGCGGAAGCCUGAUGCGGCAACGCCGCGUGCGGGAUGACGGCCCUCGGGUUGUGAACCGCUUUCGCCUGUGACGAAGCGUGAGUGACGGUAAUGGGUAAAGAAGCACCGGCUAACUACGUG
rnacentral:rRNA from 1 species